GGGGCCGAUUAAGGCUCACUGGUGCUCUAAGCACUGACCAAUCUUGGUGCCCCCCUCCUUUCCACACUGACCCAGUCCGAGUCAUUAAAAUGACUGUCAUGACAACUGAAUUUGGCUCCAUCAUUUUACUUUUAAACACAUGCAUUUUACUUUUAAACAUAGCCUAUGACACUGCACCUCGCCAACAAAAAAUAGAAGAUAACCCUAGGGUGCACCAUGAUCAAUCUGAACUAGUUUUAUCAUUUUUUUUU